UGUAAACUUCUUAAGUAUCUAUCUUUUGUUAUCUAUUGAUUAUUGCACAAUUGAAUAAUAUAAAUACAAGACCCAUUCUUCCUGAAGAAUCUGAACUACCAAUGACAAUGGAGAGUGUUUACCGCAAAAAAAAGACAAUGGAGAGUGUUACAAAACUACAGAUAACUAAUAAACAGUCUGGUAACGUAAAAACUGCCAGUAUCUUGUCUCCAAAUACCAAUAAAGGAGCAUAGUUCAACUUAAUACGACCACAGAUUAUACAAUUGACCAAUGAAACAAAUAGUGAACUUGUUAUAUGUGAACAACUCCAGCAUAGACCAUGCGACGCCCCAAUCCCCACCCACGACGGCCAGCCAAUCGCCUUGCGCGUAAGGAACCAGCCAACCAGCAACUGGCGCAGUUCGCCCCACUUGGUGACGCGGACGCGAGCGCACGACGCGCACUGAACGGCAGCUCUACAAACGAGUGGUCCCAUCGGUCAUGCACUGCAACAACCAGCAUGCGUGUGAAAAAAAAACGAAUGGCUGUACAGCCAACAAACAAUUAAACCUAUGAGCAGUAACUCAAUCAAACGGCCCUAGAUCAAAACGCGAGCAGGAGACCUUCUAUAGCCGGUUUGCCCUCUGCACUAUUCAUAGCGACGUGGAGCCAUCGGUUGUGCGUAGCAACCCCUUCAUCCUAUAUUUUUGUUAUUGUUGUAUGAUAGCUCUGCCUGACUGAACCUAUAUUCACGUUUUUAAAGAUUAUUAUUCAUGUAUGAUAGCUCUGCCUGACUGGUUUGUCCUCUCCUACUCUACAAGGGGCAUGAACAAUCUAAAAGAAAACAUAAGCUUAUAGCGAGGGAACUAUUUCAGAUCAUACAAACAACAUGAAAUUUUACCAAAUUACUCACCAGCGAGAAGGUCGCCACUUCAUGUUGUUUAACAGCGCCUGUAAGUCACGAAGUUAACCUGCAAAACAGACAAUACCAAUGGCAACAUCACUUCCCAAACCAAAUGACAGAGCAAGUGGUGCGGGUGGUAAUCUACAGGAAGUUGCGCGCAAAAAAGAAAUUGCGAACAAAGAAAAUAAGAAGAGACACUGCUGAGUCUGAGCAGGUGGUGAACACUGAUGCGGCAGCUCUGAAGACCGUUGUCCGUGAGCACUAUACCUCUGUCGAAGUUCUUGCAGUGUAACUGAAUAUUGCAAGCCCAGCCACACACAUAAAAUAAAACUAUAUUGGCACUGACGAUGAAGGCUCACACCAGGGUAAUAAGAUGUUGUUGGCAAUUUGGCAUACAAUCUGAGAACGGACACAUAACAAUCUUUUUUACCAGAGUGGUUUCGACAGUAACUAUAUUUAUCUCAAGGUCCCAGCUCGCUCGUAUAGGACGAGGACGACACAGACAAUGGAGAUCGAAGCAAUGCAAUCGCAUGGAUUAUCUUCGACAAGUUCUAUGCACCAAGGUAGAAAUAUCAAUGGCAAUACCAUCAACCAAAGACAACACCAGAUACAUAACCAAUUAGUACCAACACCUAAUCUGUAGUCUGUACU
rnacentral:lncRNA from 1 species